GCUUCCUACGGGGCGCAGCAGUGGGGAAUAUUGCACAAUGGGGGAAACCCUGAUGCAGCGAUGCCGCGUGGAGGAAGAAGGUUUUCGGAUUGUAAACUCCUUUUAUCAGGGACGAUAAUGACGGUACCUGAAGAAAAAGCUCCGGCUAACUACGUGCCAGCAGCCGCGGUAAUACGUAGGGAGCGAGCGUUGUCCGGAAUUACUGGGUGUAAAGGGUGCGCAGGCGGCGCGGCAAGUCAGAUGUGAAAGCCCGGGGCUCAACCCCGGGACUGCAUUUGAAACUGCCGGGCUAGAGUAUCGGAGAG
rnacentral:rRNA from 1 species